UAGUCAUAGCUCGUUGAUACGUGGCUCCGGCGUUCUUCAAACCGAAGGGUAUCACUCGAUAACAGAAUGUUCCCCAAGGUGUGAUGAAUGUUGUCUUCUCCAUAUCCUCGGGUGCCAAGCUCGUUGAUACGUGGCUCCGGCGUUCUUCAAACCGAAGGGUAUCACUCGAUAACAGAAUGUUCCCCAAGGUGUGAUGAAUGUUGUCUUCUCCAUAUCCUCGGGUGCCAUUUUAAUUUGAUUAUAUCCGAAGAAUCCGUCCAUAAAUAAGAAGACAUUGAAUUUAGUUGUAUUAUCUACCAACAUAUCAAUAUGUGGUAGAGGAAAACAAUCUUUCGGACUAGCUUUAUUC
rnacentral:lncRNA from 1 species